ACGGAAGGCAGCAGUGAGGAAUAUUGGUCAAUGGACGGAAGUCUGAACCAGCCAAGUCGCGUGAAGGAUGAAGGUAUUAUGUAUUGUAAACUUCUUUAGCAGUGGAGUAAUAAGGGGAUCGCGAUCCCUGAUGCAAGUACACUGAGAAUAAGGAUCGGCUAACUCCGUGCCAGCAGCCGCGGUAAUACGGAGGAUCCGAGCGUUAUCCGGAUUUAUUGGGUUUAAAGGGUGCGCAGGCGGCUUUUUAAGUCAGUGGUUAAAUCGUGACGCUCAACGUCAUCACGCCAUUGAUACUGGAGAGCUUGAUUGCGGUCGAGGUUUGCGGAAUUCGUUGUGUAGCGGUGAAAUGCAUAGAUAUGACGAAGAACACCGAUUGCGUAGGCAGCAGACCAGGCCGUAAAUGACGCUGAGGCACGAAGGCGCGGGGAUCGAACAGGAUUAGAUACCCUGGUA
rnacentral:rRNA from 1 species